CACGUAGGGUGCGAGCGUUGUCCGGAAUUAUUGGGCGUAAAGCGCACGUAGGCGGUUCGUUAAGUCAGAUGUGAAAGCCCCAAGCUCAACUUGGGAAGUGCAUUUGAAACUGGCGGGCUUGAAUAUGGAAGAGGGUCGCGGAAUUCCCGGUGUAGAGGUGAAAUUCGUAGAUAUUCGGAAGAACACCAGUGGCGAAGGCGGCUCACUGGUCCGGUACUGACGCUGAGGUGCGAAAGCGUGGGGAGCAAACAGG
rnacentral:rRNA from 1 species